rnacentral:lncRNA from 1 species
GACUCUGCAGCUGGACCCCAUGCUGCAGAGCAUGUGGCUGCCCAGGGGCCACCUCAGCCAGACCCAGGUCGCCUCCUGGGCAGGGAGCCUCACCGGCCAGUGUCCUGGCUCUGUUGCAGAAUGCGGGGCUACAUGUGACAGCUGCUUCAGCCAGGACUUCUGCAUCCGCUGCAAGAGACGAUUCUUUCUGCACAAGGGGAAGUGUCUGCCCACCUGCCCACCAGGCACCUUGACCCACCAGAGCACCCGGGAGUGCCAGGAGGAAUGUAAGCUGGGAGCCUGGGGCAGCUGGAGCCCCUGCACACAUGACAGGAAGACCUGUGGUGCCACCUGGGGCCUGGAGACCCGCGUACGUGAGGCUGGGCUGGCCGGGCAGGAGGAGGAGGCCACCUGCCAGGUGCAGUCUGAGUCCAGGAAAUGUCCCAUCCAGAGGCCCUGUCCAGGAGGUGAGCAAAGGUGGCAUGUGGGGCUGCAGGGGGCAGGGCCCCCAGAGGGCUCUUAGUGUCCUAGGGAUGCUGCCCCCAGGAACAGUCUUGAGUCCCCCCCUAUACUGCACCUUCACAAGGGGGAGCUCGCCUUGCCUAUGGGGCAAUCCCAAGCACCUGAGGAAGACAGACAACUCUUCCAGACUGACCUCCCCUUCUCAUAUCAGAACUCUGGAACGUGCUCCCUACCAAGCUGAAACAGAUUCCAUGGGAAACGUAAUGCCUG